AUUCAAAGCUCGCAAUGCACCGUUCUGAAAACUCUCCAGCGUAGAAUUCAGGAACCCUGAGUUUUCUAUCUCUGUCUAGUUCUGGACUGAAUGGGCUCAAGUCAUCUAGUUAACCUCUCUGGAUUUCAGUCUUCUGAAAAGUGAAGCUAAGAGAUCUAGCAUUCUGCAGAAAAGUACUGGAGAUGACUCAGGACUGAAAAUGAUCAUGAAGCCCCUUUGCAAAUAUCAAAGUGGUGAUGAAGCAGUCAUGAACUUUGACCAGAAGCCGUGUUUUGUGGGAUUGCCACUUUAAUCGCUCCUGUUCAUCAUUAGGACUGCAGCCAGAGUGUGGAAGGAGUGACAGCACAGAGGAAGAGAUGGUCCAAGACCAAAGAGGAAAGAAAUGGCAUAAGAUGGGACAGUGUUCUAUGAUCUCUAACUGGCCAAAGAAAAAUGAGAAACAAAUUUAAAAGAAGACAGAGAACCUUCAGAGGGUGGAAGGGAAGUAUUCCUACAACCUCAUAUCCACCUCUGUCCAUUUGAAG
rnacentral:lncRNA from 10 species